UGGGGAAUAUUGGGCAAUGGGCGAAAGCCUUACCCAGCAACGCCGCGUGAGGGAAGAAGGUUUUCGGAUUGUAAACCUCUGUCCUGGGGGACGAAGGAAGUGACGGUACCCCGGGAGGAAGCCCCGGCUAACUACGUGCCAGCAGCCGCGGUAAUACGUAGGGGGCGAGCGUUGUCCGGAAUUAUUGGGCGUAAAGGGCGCGUAGACGGCCGAGUAAGUUAUAGGUGAAAGCCCAUCUUUCAAGGAUGGAAUUGCCUGUAAUACUGCUUGGCUUGAGUGCAGGAGGGGGAAGCGGAAUUCCUAGUGUAGCGGUGAAAUGCGUAGAUAUUAGGAGGAACACCAGUGGCGAAGGCGGCUUUCUGGACUGUAACUGACGUUGAGGCGCGAAAGCGUGGGGAGCAAACAGGAUUAGAUACC
rnacentral:rRNA from 1 species